rnacentral:rRNA from 1 species
GAUGAACGCUAGCUACAGGCUUAACACAUGCAAGUCGAGGGGCAGCGGGAUUGAAGCUUGCUUCAAUUGCCGGCGACCGGCGCACGGGUGAGUAACGCGUAUCCAACCUUCCGUACACUCAGGGAUAGCCUUUCGAAAGAAAGAUUAAUACCUGAUGGUAUGAUGAGAUUGCAUGAUAGCAUCAUUAAAGAUUUAUCGGUGUACGAUGGGGAUGCGUUCCAUUAGGUAGUAGGCGGGGUAACGGCCCACCUAGCCGACGAUGGAUAGGGGUUCUGAGAGGAAGGUCCCCCACAUUGGAACUGAGACACGGUCCAAACUCCUACGGGAGGCAGCAGUGAGGAAUAUGGUCAAUGGACGAGAGUCUGACCAAGCCAAGUAGCGUG